rnacentral:lncRNA from 1 species
AAUGUGAAGCUCCGCGUCUUGCUCUCUAUUUCCCCCUCUUUGUGUGCUCUUUCCUGUCGAUUUUUUAUCUAACAAUGAUUUUCAGUAUCUUGAUUUCCAUUGUUGCCAAACUUUUGAGUCAAAAUGCUCUUUGGCGCGAAGAGGGAAGAAAGUUGAGGUUACUGGAAAUUCCAAAAUCUGAAAGAAAAAAAAAGUAAUCAAUAUUUUGAGUGGAACAAAACAAAAUAGGCAAUGUAACAUCGAAAAUAAGAUAAAUUAU